rnacentral:rRNA from 1 species
UACGUGCCAGCAGCCGCGGUAAUACGUAGGGUGCGAGCGUUAUCCGGAAUUAUUGGGCGUAAAGAGCUCGUAGGCGGUUUGUCGCGUCUGUCGUGAAAGUCCGGGGCUUAACCCCGGAUCUGCGGUGGGUACGGGCAGACUAGAGUGCAGUAGGGGAGACUGGAAUUCCUGGUGUAGCGGUGGAAUGCGCAGAUAUCAGGAGGAACACCGAUGGCGAAGGCAGGUCUCUGGGCUGUAACUGACGCUGAGGAGCGAAAGCAUGGGGAGCGAACAGGAUUAGAUACCCUGGUAGUCCAUGCCGUAAACGUUGGGCACUAGGUGUGGGGACCAUUCCACGGUUUUCGCGCCGCAGCUAACGCAUUAAGUGCCCCGCCUGGGGAGUACGGCCGCAAGGCUAAAACUCAAAGGAAUUGACGGGGGCCCGCACAAGCGGCGGAGCAUGCGGAUUAAUUCGAUGCAACGCGAAGAACCUUACCAAGGCUUGACAUGUUCUCGAUCGCCGUAGAGAUACGGUUUCGCCUUUGGGGCGGGUUCACAGGUGGUGCAUGGUUGUCGUCAGCUCGUGUCGUGAGAUGUUGGGUUAAGUCCCGCAACGAGCGCAACCCUCGUUCCAUGUUGCCAGCACGUAAUGGUGGGGACUCAUGGGAGACUGCCGGGGUCAACUCGGAGGAAGGUGAGGACGACGUCAAAUCAUCAUGCCCCUUAUGUCUUGGGCUUCACGCAUGCUACAAUGGCCGGUACAAUGGGUUGCGAUACUGUGAGGUGGAGCUAAUCCCAAAAAGCCGGUCUCAGUUCGGAUUGGGGUCUGCAACUCGACCCCAUGAAGUCGGAGUCGCUAGUAAUCGCAGAU